UACGGAGGGUGCAAGCGUUGUUCGGAAUCACUGGGCGUAAAGGGCGUGUAGGCGGUCUAUCAAGUCUGGUGUGAAAUCCCCUCGCUCAACGAGGGAACUGCGCCGGAAACUGACAGACUAGAGUACCGGAGAGGAAGGUGGAACUCCCGGUGUAGCGGUGAAAUGCGUAGAUAUCGGGAGGAACACCGGUGGCGAAGGCGGCCUUCUGGACGGAUACUGACGCUGAGACGCGAAAGCGUGGGGAGCGAACAGG
rnacentral:rRNA from 1 species